UAUCAUUGAAUAUCAUUGUACCCAUUGUGUAAAUACAUGUGUACACUUUGCGUACAUCAUUGAUUGAAUAUCAUUGUUUAUCAUUGAAUAUCAUUGUACCCAUUGUGUAUUAAUUGUUCAAUAUACACUUUGCGUACAUCAUUGAAUUGAUACUUUAUGUACAUCAUUGUAGAGAUACCUUGUGUACAUCAUUGUAUUUAUUGUAUUGAUUUGACUAUUGAGUAUAUUGAUGAUUGAUUUUGACUAUUGAUUUAUUGAUGAUUGAUUUGACUAUUAAUCAAUAAAGCCAUGACAAAAACUGCCAAUCACUCUUAAUCUAUUUUGUCGACAUAAUCCGACUUAACUCAAUAUGAGUUAAGUCCCGUUAUGGAGACAAAUAGAGAUAAAAGGUUCAGGGAAGAUAACUCUCACUCAAAUGCACUGACUUCAUUUAGUCACAUCAUUACGCAUGUGCAUUUGCUCUUCCUUUCCAUCUUCCGUCAGCCAUUGAAACUCAGCAUCCCACCCACCUCUCCCAAUUUACAAGAUUUUUAUGAAUUGUUCUUUUUUGACAACAAAAUUUUGCUGCUGUCUUUGAUUUCCUUUUUCAGUUACCAUCCAUGCUUUUGGCUUCCCAUUCCUUUGACCACCAGCAGAAGAAUCCAUUACAUCCAUUCCCUUGUCCUCAAACAGAAGAAUCCAUUUCCGCCGUCCUUGGCUUCCAGCGAUAGGAACCAUAACCUCAGUUCCCUUGGAUACCAAAAGAACCUAUUAGCGUCAUGGCUUUAUUACGACUCAUUGAAAUGCAAAGUAUAUGGUAUUCUUACAGACUGUUUUUUAAUGCUGAAUCGAAUUUUGCUAGAAGCUCGCUGCUGAUCCUGUUAUCUUCCAGGUCCAGUGGCCAAUAAUUGAGCUUCCGUCAUUGUGCCAUUGCUAUUGAUUCUACGUCAUAUACUAUUGAUAAAGUCGACGUAGACCAUUGUCUUUGUAAUACAUUGCUACCUGAUCAUUGCAAUUCAUUUAUCAUUGAAUAUCAUUGUAUAUCAUUGAAUAUCAUCGCAUAUUAUUGCAUAAUAUUGCAUAUCAUUGAAUAUCAUUGUACCCAUUGUGUAAAUACAUGUGUACACUUUGCGUACAUCAUUGAUUGAAUAUCAUUGUUUAUCAUUGAAUAUCAUUGUACCCAUUGUGUAUUAAUUGUUCAAUAUACACUUUGCGUACAUCAUUGAAUUGAUACUUUAUGUACAUCAUUGUAGAGAUACCUUGUGUACAUCAUUGUAUUUAUUGUAUUGAUUUGACUAUUGAGUAUAUUGAUGAUUGAUUUUGACUAUUGAUUUAUUGAUGAUUGAUUUGACUAUUAAUCAAUAAAGCCAUGACAAAAACUGCCAA